rnacentral:tRNA from 1 species
AUUUACUUAGUAUAACAAAAUACCUUUGAUUUCCAAUCAAAAAAUCUUAAUAUUAAGAAUAAAUA